CACAACACUAAUUGUCUUCUCACGUUGCCACUUUCACUCCUUCCCGUCCUUAAAAAAAAAAAAAAAAAAAAAAAAAAAAGGAAAAAAACCUAACCAAAACAAACCCCAAAACCACCAAACAGCACGGUGAGACGGGCCGCAGAAAGCAAAGACAGCAAUCAAACCGACGUGAUCGGUGCCUGUGAUUGACCUCAAGGCCCUGCUCUGCUGAAGCACUCAGCCCCUGCUGCAAAGCGGGUUAACUGCGCAGCCCUGCUCGGCACGGCUCGGGGAGGCAGCCGGGAAGCUCCCUCGGCAGAGGAGCGACUCCCUGGCAGCUCGAUUAUUAAUGCACGCGUGGAAGUACCUGCUCACAUCACGCCUAUAUGUUCUCUCUCACGUCGAUUUGCAUGACCUCCGGCAAAGAGCUAAGGCAGCAAGAAAUCCCAAGUCGAAUGUUGCCACAAAGCGGCACACAUCUCCCCUUCCCCGGGUGUAAACAGAGCUCUCUGAUGAUGGACUGCUUUCUUCCCCCCUCCUUGUGUAUCACAAAUUAGGGUGCGGUAUCAAUUUUAAAGUUUUCAGUAUAACUUUAUCCAAACCCUCUGCUUGGAGAGAUAAGGCGCCUCCACAGACCGGCAACUCCUCGGGACAGUGCCCCGCUGUGGCCAAAGCCAGCAUUACCACCUCCGCUCCAGGAGCUUUGUAUUAUUCCACGCUCCGUGGGUAGCACUCAUUUGUGGCGAACUUCAAAGCAGUUACCCACCUCAAACUUAACGGAGAAUUUAAAAGCACCACUACACUCCCUUCGCCUUUCCCCAUCCCGUGCCUUUCGGGGUUAUCCGUAAAGAGAAACCCACGCGAGCACUUCGGAAUAAUGACAGCAGCGCUCUGCUCGCAAAGAUUUAUUUUGGAUUUUAUUUUUCCCCUCUCUCUCUCUCUCUCUCUCUCUCUCUUUCUCCCUCUCGUGUUAGUUCCUUACGUACAAUAUCUUCCCAGCACCAUGUGUUCGCCUGCCGUGGGUGAUCUUAAAAUACAACGCUGAUCUGUCACUACAUUUUAAAAUAAACUCUGCUCGGGAAGGAUGAGAAAGUGUUGUGAUUUCAAGGUACUGGGGUCCCUUAACAUCUCGGAAACCUCGGGAUUCAAACAGCCCCGGAAACUCGCACGGGGACGAGGCUAGAACUACUUUUCCCUAAAGAAGAGGAGAUUAAAAAAAAACCCAAAACAACGCACAACAACAAAAAAAACCCCAACCCAACACCACCCUAGUGGUAUAAGAGUAAAUAAUCGGGCGGGGGGGGGGCGGGGGAAGGGGUGAAUUCAGCAAUGUUAAAAGCUAAACAACAGAUCUACCUCCGGACGCUGCUGCUUCACUCAAUUGCAACUAACAACCCAUUAAAGACAGCGCAAGGGGAACCGGAUUCUCUCCUGCAAAGCGACAUAAAUCCAGCGAAAACCCAUUAAACCGCCACCACCACCACCACGCCACGCAGCACUACACACCACAGCAAACAACAGUGAAGGCGAUGGUUACUGCUGUCAAUCUUGGCAAUCAAUGUGAGCGGCCAUGUCGUAAGUAUUCAAAGCAUUUCCCGUCGUGCAACAUCAGAAAGUGAGUGGCCAGGGCAUUGAUCUGAGGAAGGCAAAAGGAGGCAGGGCUCCCCCGCCCAGACAGCACAGGCAAGAUGAGACAACACAGAGAGAGAGAGAGAGAGGGAGAGGGGAAGAGAGAGAGGGAGACUGAGAGCGAGCGAGCGGGGAAAGCAACAACUGCGGAGAAAGUGAGCACAAAACAGAAAGUGAAAUCACCCCAGGCUGCCAGCCGCAUCCCCGAGAAGCUAUCACCACUCACAUUGCUAUUAGACAAAUGAAACCUUAAACCUCUCUCCUCUAAUGACCACUGAUUGCCCGGAGUGGUGAGGAAAGGCUAAACUGUUGUUAAGAUGGGAGUGCGGAAAGCAACCUCAAGCCCACAAAAUGAGAGAGAGAGAGAGAAGUUGUUGAUUCAUCUCUGUAUUUUUGGCACUUUCUCCCCAUUUUCCAGAAGGCGCCUGGAACAGUUAGUAACAGAGAAACUUUUUAAUUUUAAAAUAGCUUCAUAACUUACAGAGGCCAAAAAGACGAGAGGAAAGCCUGAUUUCGCUUUCCUCCUCUCCCAAGUAGAAAUGUGCGGAAUAGGUUAGACCCAGAAGCGUACUUAGCCCCACUGCGAGUGAACGUUGCUUCAGAAGAACGUGAUGAAAAUUGAGCAUUAACAUGAUGGCACAGGACUGAUCGGACUCUAUUUCAUUUUGUUAACAAGCUGUAAAACUCUACACACUACUGGAGCCGUGCACAUUGCAUCCUCUACCUUGCUAUCCGAGGUACUAUCGUCCCUCUCGAAUCGAGUCCAGGGAAAAUGAGUUUUAAGUCAGAACCUCUUGGAACAGCAGACCUUUUUAUACAGUAUUUUUGGCAAUUCCACUACAAUAAAAGGAGCGAUCAAGUCCUAUUUGGCAAGCAGCAAACACCUUGAAGCAGAACUUUAAAAUAAUCUAGUAAGGCUUUAUCAUCAAAUUAGCUGGUUGAGGGCAUAGUAGCUAAUUUCCAUGCAUUCUUUCCAUUUUAACAGAAGAUACUAAAAAGCUGAAAUUCAGAGACAAGGGGGUAAAUUGUAAGAUUCUAAAUACUGAGUUUGUAUUCACCUGCGUCCAGCUAAUUCAGAGUAUUCACCUUGCUGCUGUUAUAUGGGCUACAGAUUCAACAACAGGAAAUAGCUGCCUUUCCAGAUAUUGCUGUGUCCUUUUUGAUCUUUAAUUAUAAGAAUUCCCGUGAUUGGUCACUAACACUUUCCUUGUAACGCGUUUAAACCUGCUGCAAGUAAAGGAAACACCUUGACUUUUUGCAUAUCUAGUAGCUUCGGCGCGCAAAAAAAAAAAAAAAAGCUCUGUAAGAAAAGAGAUGUAAUCUGAAUAUAGGGACGAACUAUCCUGCCCGAGUUGGCAACCCCAUCAAUUUGUUACUGGAAGUUUUUUUUUCUUUCAAGAAACAAACAGGGAAACAUAAAAAAAUCCCAAACCCACCCUUCAAAUGUAGCGUCCUCCUUCCUAAGUACGAGGCGGUAAUGGGACAAGAGAUAAUUAAGGCAUCAGAUAAAUCUAACCGCCCACCUAACUCCAAAGCAGGGGAGCAUCUCGCUGCACUUCCGAAAAUCCUACGCAGAGAAUGACACUCGGCUGGGGCAGGACCCCGCAGAGAUGCGUCCCCACUCCCAGGCGGAGCGCAAGUCGUACUCUCCAGCUUGUUGCUUCCCCUGUGUGAUCAAUUAAGUUACAGAUGUAAGACAGUGCCAGGGAGCUAUAACUUCUCCGCGGCGGAAAAAGCGGACUCCUUGGGCAUUGUAUGCAAAUGUGCGUGUAUGUGCGCUGCCCAGGAAUACUUGUGGUUCCCUCUUUGUUUGCAUUAGCGAACAGCCGCCGUGUAGAUACGUAUACACGUGCCGAGAAAAAAAAAAAAAAAAAACAAAACGCUUUUACUUUCAGCAUUACCAUACGUUUAGAGACCGCGUUUUAAAUUACUUCCCUUGCUUUUGCUUCAUUAAGGCUAAAACCAGCCAGAGCAGGCAGAUGUUGAGGAGGGAUGCUCAACUGCUGUGGGUCCUUGCAGAGGGAAGGGAUCGGAGGCGCGCAGUUCACGUCGGGGCACUUACCUGUUCACAGCUGUCAUUGCAUUUUGUGCCGUCUCCUUCAUUAAAUACGUUAAAGUAAAGCAAUAUUUAACAACCUAAGCAACCUGUCUGUGUGUUGAGUUUUACACACCGCAUCUUUAACAUGAUGAGCAAACCUACAACUCCUGUAGAGUUGGUGGAACAGCCUAAGAAGUUUUGAUUCAAAUGGCAAGAAAUUCCACCUUAACCGUCACUCACCCAAUUCUAAACUCUCCUCUCUCCCCAGUUAAUGCCGGACAAUUAACAGGCAUAUUUAUAAAUUCCCUCUGCUGACGCUCUCCGACAAUGAAGACUUUUUAUAGCCUUGUUAAAGAUGUUCAGAGAAACUUUUGCAAAAUAAUCAACAGCGUCUGAGAGAAAGCUAAAGGAAAAGAAGUUAAAGCCUGAUCAUCCGAUUGGGAGAAAGUUUUGUUAGACUAGAUAGAAGCACAUUACUGCACGUUUCUUCCUAAGCAAACCUAUCAGCUGGUACGAGUUCCCCUAGAACAAGAACCUCUGGCGAUCUCCUCAAAAUUUAAGGGACGUUUGCAUUUUAUAACGGCCAAAGCUAAAGAUCUGACUGAAAACAAAAACUCUGAAUUCCUUACAGCGUCAUCUGCCAACAUAAUGUAUUGUCCUGGCAGAAAGAGGAUCAAGCGGAUUUUAAUUUCAUUUGAACCUGUGCAUCAUCUUGAUAGUGAAGUAAAAAGCCGCAGCAACAAUCUCCCCACUCCACCACCCUCCCCCGUUCACAAAAAAAAAAAGGGGGGGGGGGAGGGGGGGGACACGGACACACGACGACCUGGUAAAACCACAUAAACUUUUACAAAGAAAAUAAAAGCAAGUUUGACACGAAAACCCCUUCCUGUCUCGGAAAGUUCAUUUUAAAGGUCCCCUCUGUAGAUCUAAAGUGCAAACACCAGGCUAAGGUAGUGAGUGGCUGGAAUUUGCAUGCUGAUAAGAGAAGGCUGUUGUACUUACAGUGACAGAGGGCAGGCUGCGGAAGAAAAGCUGUUUGUGUUAGCCUGAGAGUCACCCAGGGCUGCAAUGAGAGGAGAAGAGAGGAGUGGGAGUGCCAAGCUGGAUACACCUUCACCGCAUCUCAUCACAUCUGCCAGCCUCUCUCUCCCUCUCUCUUUCAUUUCCACAUUCCCUUUGUUCCUGAAAAAAAAAAUCUACACGUCACAUCAGUCCCCAGAUGCAGUCUACACCAAAGAAAAAAAAUGAAUAAUUCAAUCAAACUGUGCAUAGUCUCUAAGGCAAUAAAUCUACUGCACUUAAAGAAACGAGGGGUAAUUACCGCUAUAGAAUCAGAAUAAGGCCAGAGCGCGCAGGGAUCCCAGGGUCUGUAAACUCCACGGUCAAAUAAAGUUUCAUUUAUUUAAUCCUUUGACAAUCCCAAUAUAAACUAAAGGGGAGGAUCGGAACUUAUUCCGGUUGGGUCUGAGAAUGCUUGGAGUGAAUGUUAUAGAAGGAGAGCGCCCGUGAUCUGUAACAAACACAAUGCAAGGAAGUCGAAGUGUUUCACUGCAUCACCUCCAGGGUCCGUUCCCCCCUCCCUAAUGAAGAGCAGACCACACUCCCACCGGCUUCUGCUGCUCUCUGCAAGUGCAACGGGAAUCGCUGGCAGCCAGCAGCCGCCUUACCUGCUCCUAGAUUGCCAAUAAAGCCUGACAAAAACUCAGGGUAACCGGCAAUUUUGUUCCACGCUGUGGCGAAGAGAAGCCAUGGGGGAUUUGCACCGGCGCGGAUUGACUCGAAAGGCUGCCCCUGACUUCUGGAUUUGCGCUGGGCUGAGUUUGGGGACUGCCUGCCGGGGGGCGGGGGGAGCGGGCUGGGGAGCGGAUCCCAGCUGGGCAGGCGGCGGCAGCGGUGCCGGAGCCCUGCGACAGACCGGCCGAGGUGGGAUGGAGGAGAGCCACGCUUUCCCCUCUCCUACCUCUAGCGUUGCUCUCUCGGCUCGGAGAUUUCAUUUCUUCGAUGGACUCUUCUGCAACUCAGGCUUCCCAUCUGCCGGCUACUCUCCUGGACUAAAAUUAUGCUACAUACAUAAUGAUGUGCAAAGGUGGCGAAAAAGAGAAAAUUGCAAAGACUUACUGGGUGGCAGGAAGUGGGAUUCACUAUAAUCAACAGCAGCAGGGGACUCUUUGAGGCUGUGUUGCAAGAUAUAUUCAAGAUUUUAGCAGAAAGAAAAUAAUUGCAUUUAAUAUUGUGCUGGUGGGAAAUAACAUAUGUUCAAUCUUUUCCAGCUUUUAUACUUACAUUCAGAUUUAGACUCUCGCCCUUUAGAUGCAGAGAUACUACUCCUUAAGAUCUGGAUACUUUGGGGGGGGAGGUUAGUACACUUAUGCAGAGGAUGUCCUAUUAUUAGCCAGCUAGAGCUUUAUACUACUUGCAAAUUUUACUUCAAAAAUUUACUAAGGCUUCAUGAACAUAUUCACUAGACAAAAUAAACAGCCCUGUGUUCAAUAAGCAAGCUAUUACCAAAACAUAAUUAAGCUUCCAGCAUUAUUGUAUUUUAUUGUUUUUUAUUAAAAACUCAUUA